CAACCGUAUCACUCUUCUCUCCCUCUAUCUCAAGUCCGUUUUACCCAAUUUCUAACGUAGAGACCAAAUAGAGCAGAUAAAUGUAAGAACCCUAAAACGAAAAUCAACAAUUAAACGCUGCUCAAGAGGAAUCUGAGCCCAAGAUGUUGGGGCUUUGAUUCCUCGUGCCUCGGGCUACAUGGUGGUAACGCACAAUGGAAGAAAAAAGCUUACCUAGGAGGCGGCGCGGUGCUCCGUUGCGAGUCAAAUUUGAAGGUAAAGAUGAACUCAGGCCAUGCUUGAGAAGAUCAUCACUUUGACAAUGGCAUUGCAACUAAGUUGAUUCUGGAUUGUUGUUAGCAGGGAUGUUACAAGCUUAGAAUGACAUGGUGAGGGAAGUUGGCAUGAGACUUUUGGCAUGAAGAUGACGAAUGCUUGGAGGCAAAGUGGGAAUCAUGAAGUUUGGUCAUGGAUAUUGAUGGAAUGGAGUUUGGACAUG